rnacentral:rRNA from 1 species
UACAUGUGGGGCAAGCGUUAAUCGGAAUUACUGGGCGUAAAGCGUGCGCAGGCGGUUCGGAAAGAAAGGUGUGAAAUCCCAGGGCUUAACCUUGGAACUGCACUUUUAACUACCGAGCUAGAGUACGUCAGAGGGGGGUAGAAUUCCACGUGUAGCAGUGAAAUGCGUAGAGAUGUGGAGGAAUACCGAUGGCGAAGGCAGCCCCCUGGGAUGAUACUGACGCUCAUGCACGAAAGCGUGGGGAGCAAACAGG